rnacentral:rRNA from 1 species
AACGAACGCUGGCGGCAUGCCUAAUACAUGCAAGUCGAACGAGAUCUUCGGAUCUAGUGGCGCACGGGUGCGUAACGCGUGGGAAUCUGCCCUUGGGUUCGGAAUAACUUCUGGAAAGGGAAGCUAAUACCGGAUGAUGACUUAAGUCCAAAGAUUUAUCGCCCAAGGAUGAGCCCGCGUAGGAUUAGCUAGUUGGUGGGGUAAAGGCCUACCAAGGCGACGAUCCUUAGCUGGUCUGAGAGGAUGAUCAGCCACACUGGGACUGAGACACGGCCCAGACUCCUACGGGAGGCAGCAGUAGGGAAUAUUGGACAAUGGGCGAAAGCCUGAUCCAGCAAUGCCGCGUGAGUGAUGAAGGCCUUAGGGUUGUAAAGCUCUUUUACCCGGGAUGAUAAUGACAGUACCGGGAGAAUAAGCUCCGGCUAACUCCGUG